ACCUCAGUGGUUUAAGUGGUUAGGGCAUUUACCUCAGAUGUAAAAGGUUUCAGGUUUGUUCCCCACCUGAGGCA